rnacentral:rRNA from 1 species
GACGAACGCUGGCGGCGUGCUUAACACAUGCAAGUCGAACGGAAAGGCCCUGCUUUUGUGGGGUGCUCGAGUGGCGAACGGGUGAGUAACCCGUGAGUAACCUGCCCUUGACUUUGGGAUAACUUCAGGAAACUGGGGCUAAUACCGGAUAGGAGCUCCUGCUGCAUGGUGGGGGUUGGAAAGCUUCGGCGGUUGGGGAUGGACUCGCGGCUUAUCAGCUUGUUGGUGGGGUAGUGGCUUACCCAGGCUUUGACAGGUAGCCGGCCUGAGAGGGUGACCGGCGACAUUGGGACUAAGGGACGGCCCAGACGCCUACGGGAGGCAGCAGUGGGAAAUAUUGCACAAUGGGCGGAAGCCUGAGGCAGCAACGCCGCGUGCGGGAUGACGGCCUUCGGGUGGUAAACCGCUGUCGCCUGUGACGAAGCGUGAGUGACGGUAAUGGGUAAAGAAGCACCGGCUAACUACGUG